rnacentral:rRNA from 1 species
UACGUAGGCAGCGAGCGUUGUUCGGAGUUACUGGGCGUAAAGGGUGUGUAGGCGGUUCUUUAAGUUUGGUGUGAAAUCUCCCGGCUUAACCGGGAGGGUGCGCCGAAUACUGAGGGACUAGAGUGUGGGAGAGGAAAGUGGAAUUCCAGGUGUAGCGGUGAAAUGCGUAGAUAUCUGGAGGAACACCGGUGGCGAAGGCGGCAUCCUGGACCGGUAUUGACGCUGAGGCGCGAAAGCUAGGGGAGCAAACGGG